UUAGAGCAAGGGACCACUCUGGAUUCGAUAAUGGCAGGUUAAUGGGAGCUAAUGACAGCUAAUGACGGAGUAGAAAUAGUUUGAAAUAGUUUGAACACGGACGACCUGUUGCGAUGAAAGAGGCGCUGUCGGUAUAGUAAGUCAUCGCCCUUUUCAAGAGAGAGAGUGUUUAUUUACAUCCAGCUAGAACGUGAUUUGCUCCAGUGGAUAAAAUAACGUUACCAUCAUGCAUAUGGAUUCAGGUGUAGUGCUUCUGUAGUGCGCGCGGUCGGCUGUAUUAGUAACGUGCGUCUUUUGUUUACUGUUGUCCUUGUACCGUAUGAUGUUUUCUAAUGUUGCAAUUUUCAUGCUUCAUUUUUUUAUUGUAUAAUUUGUAUUGAAACUGUUCAAACGUAUUUUAUAAAGGCGAGUGAGAAAUGCGCAUGGCCAUGAUUUGAUUAGCCUAUUGCGACGUAGUGCGCAGUUUCCAGCGUUGUUUCCAACGUUACCCGGAAACAAGCGAGACAUUUGCUCUCAGCUGCUUCCUUAUAAAACAUGUCUGGGGGAUUUGUGCCUCAUUUUUCUCCGGAGCCAGAGCAGCAGGGUGGGAUGGAGAGGUGUGCUGGAUGCUUGCUGCAGGAGGAUGUUGCGCACUUCAGUUUACCUCAGAAGAGGACUGGCACAUCCAUCGUUGUGCUUUGGCCCGACAUCAAAACAUCAAACCCACUGCAGUCGGCUGACCGAUUGAUUUGCUGACUACUUCAGUGGCACAAGAUAAAGCAGGUAUUACGUUUGUCUUCUUGUGAAAGGUAAGAGCCAGUACACGUCCCAGCAAUCGCAGCCAGCAACAUCUAAGACGAAUGGUACAACAGUGCCCACUGUUUAUAUCAAUUAUUGUCAAAAAGAUAUAAGUGAAUAUUCAGCAGUCAUACAUACUGUACAUACAACCAAAAUUACAGUGUCCCGUAAUGUACUUUUCUCUGACUUUGUCCAACACUGUAAUGCCAGAAACGGCUGAGCUUAGGGGAAACAUUUUCUUUUUUGUUGCCUUUAAUUUUUGACAGGACAGCUAGGUGA